AUGGGGAGCCCUCUCAGCCCAGUAGUAGCAAAUUUCUAUAUGGAAUACUUUGAAAAACAGGCCCUAGAAACAGCACCAAAAAAGCCAACUGUUUGGUUCAGAUACGUAGAUGACACCUUCACAAUUUGGAGCCAUGGAGAGGAAGAACUCAGCAAGUUCCUGGACCAUCUUAACAGCAUCCACCCAAACAUCCAAUUCACCAUGGAAAAAGAAAAGGAAGGAAAACUGCCAUUUCUAGAUGUUCUGGUCAUCCGCAAACCCAAUCAACAAUUGGACCACACAGUUUACAGAAAACCUACACACAGAGAUAGAUACCUUCAUAAAAACUCCAACCAUCACCCAAGUCAAAAAAGGAGCACAAUCAAAGCCCUGACAGACCGUGCACAAAGAAUCUGUGAACCUUACCUCCUCCAAGAUGAACUCAACCACCUAAACUGGGCUCUACAGGCCAAUGGAUACUCCACCACAGACAUCAGAAGAGCUGCAAGGCCAAGAACAAGCCAUGAGAGUCAAGACAAAGAUCCACCCAGAGGAAAGGUGUUCUUACCAUGCAUCAAGGGAACCACUGACCGCAUAGGCAAAUUGAUGAAGAAGCACAACCUACAAACUAUCUACAGACCCACAAAGAAAAUCCAACAAAUGCUACGGUCAGCGAAGGACAAGAGGGAUCCUCUCUCUUCUGCAGGAGUCUACCGGAUACCAUGCAGCUGUGGACAAGUAUAUAUAGGGACCACCAAACGCAGCGCCCAAACAAGAGUCAAAGAACAUGAAAGGCACUGCAGACUAAUUCAACCAGAGAAAUCAGCCAUAGCAGAGCAUUUGAUGAACCAGCCUGGACACAGGAUACUAUUUGAGAACACAAAAAUGCUGGACCAUUCCAACAACUAUCAUGUCAGACUACACAGAGAAGCCAUUGAAAUCCACAAGCAUGUGGACAACUUCAACAGAAAGGAAGAAACCAUGAAAAUGAACAAAAUCUGGCUACCAGUAUUACAAAACUCCAAAAUCAAAACAGUAGAUGGGAACCAACUCUCUGAGGGCUUGACUAAACAAAGGAUGCCCCCAGGCAUGAGACAAAAUAUUUCCAAUGCUAAUUAG
rnacentral:lncRNA from 1 species